rnacentral:rRNA from 1 species
GACGAACCGUGCGACCGUUAUUCGGAAUCACUGGGCUUAAAGCGCGUGUAGGCGGGAGGGCACGUCCGUCGCUGAAAUCCCCCGGCUCAACCGGGGAACGGGCGCGGAUACGACCUUCCUGGAGGGGCGUAGGGGGACCUGGAACUUCCGGUGGAGCGGUGAAAUGCGUUGAGAUCGGAAGGAACGCCCGUGGCGAAAGCGAGGUCCUGGACGCCUACUGACGCUGAGACGCGAAAGCCAGGGGAGCGAACGGG